rnacentral:tRNA from 1 species
UUUGGCACAGUAGGUAGUGUGUCAGUCUCGCAAGCUGAAGGUCCUGAAUUCGAUCCUUGGAA